CAAGCAGCAUUCAGCAGGAUAUUUUCACAACACUGCUGGAUGGUGCGCUCAGCUGAAGGAGCUGGGUGGCUCUCGAAGAAAGCCUGGUAUAACACAACCCAGAAGGGCUCUGUGUCCUGUCUAAAGCACACUCCUCCGUUGGGUCCCGACUCCUCUCCAUCGCUUGGCCAUCGCUCCAGGAAUUACCCCCCGUCUCUUUCACAUCACGGAUUUUUCUAUUACUAAUCUAGCAUUGUCAUCAGCACAAAAACAUGUUACAAAAUCUCCCUCUUUAUUAAAAAAAAUAUAUAUAUGCCU